CAAAACUGAACAUUUGGUAAACAAGAGUCGUAUUUAUGUGGGGGAAAAAUUGGCGUAUGGCCAUAUUUAUCUUAAUAUAUUUAUCACUAUAUUGCCGUGAUUUCCUUAUCUGCCAAUGUGGGCAUCUCCCUCUUUUCUUAGCUCAUCCACCUUACCCCGCCAGGAUGUACACUGAAUUUUAGAUUACCCCAGAAGUGGUGUCAAAAUAGGCAACCUCACAUUUCAAGAGAGGUUUUAUGAUCUGCCUGUUGUUUUGGAUCCAGGGAGGAGACUGACUUUUUGCAACUGCCUUACGCUGAAGAGUUGGUUAAAAAGCACCUUGGAAUAAAGGAAGCAGAAAACGGAACACAGAACUGAGAGAAAUGGAGAGCUGCCAGUAAGCAGACAGCUGGGAAAAGCUGCAGGAGGAAAUGGCAAAGAACAUCCAUGCGAUGCUGGUGAGCCUGGGGCUGGAGGGGGUGCAGACAGCCCUGGAGAAGCAGGACAGCAGGGAGAAAACCCAGGGGAAAUGGUGGGAGUGAAUCACUGAGGGCCUCACGGAGGAAGCCGGUGACUGCUCCUGAGGGACAUCCAUGAGGAUACAGGUUCCAGAUUUUAGGGAUGGGUCCUGUAAGUACACUCAGGAGGCAACAACUUCUGACAUCUGGAAGGCCAAAGAAAUAACAGCAGAACUGCAUUGUACUAAGGACACAACAGGAGCUCUUCAGGAAGAAGGAGAGAUGAAGUCACUGAGGAGGGAGUACUUGCACAGAGGGAUUGAUUGACAUUGAGGAAGGCCAGAAAAAAAAGGUUAAAAAUAGCAACAAAGGGAGCGGUGGAAAAGGUGGGAAGAGGAAGUAAAAUGGCAAGUGGAAGGGGCACUAUCAUGUUCUACUGUCUCUAAGCAAAGAAAAAUUAUUAAUGUAUUCAGUUUCAGCCAAAGGAGAAGAAAAAAAAAACUUUCUAAAAAGAGACAGAAAGUAGAACAGGAACUAGAACAUGUGAAUAAAAAGGGCAGCAAAGGAAGAGGAAAUUAAGAG
rnacentral:lncRNA from 1 species